AAAACAUCUCUAAUUCCAACACAACUGCCCACAAUCAGGGGCAAGUCCACUAAUCAGCAAGUGAGUAAAUAAAUGGCCUGGGGCAAGACUUCAGGACUUGCACCAGCACCCCCUGCACCACAUGACACUGGUAGGGGAGAGUGAGCUUUAUAGCACAGGUCUUGGGAAGGCAGCCCUCCUGGUGUCCGGAGCCAGCCUACGCCUGAGGCUCCACGGGCUCACUUCACAGCCCAGCUGGAUGUGCAUGUCACUGGGCAACUGUGACACGAGCUUGCAGGUGACACCAAGACUGGCAAGCCCAGGCCCUGCUGCUGAGUUCCCAGUAGAGGUGGGCAGAGAAGGCACAUCCAUGGGGGGCACCAGAGUACAUCGUGGCACCGGAGCCCGACAGGCUGGGUUCCAAACCCCCUCCGCCACACACCAAUGUGGCCUCAGGCAGCUCACCAAAAUCAUCUUUGCUACCACCACUCACUGGGGCACUUGCCGUAUGACAGGUGCAGGGCAAGCACUGGACAGAUUUUGUCUCAUUUAAUCCUCACAAAACCCAGCAAGGUAAGUACCUUCACAGAGGGACAGAGGGACAGAGACAUACAUAAAUUAAGUGGCUUGUAACUUAAAUUAGUGAUUUAAAGUGAGGUCACCCAGUUCACAGGUGGCAGGGCCGGGAUUUAAUCCCAAGGCAGUCUGACUCCCAAUUUUGCCUUACAUUUGGGUUCAUGAGACAAACUGCAGACACAAGACAUCAGGGGGUGGAGGGUCAGCAGCAAGAAGGACUGAGAGGGCUUAGUCUAAUGAGUUCAUGGGCCAAGAGUGUCACCAUAAUUCUAAGUUGUAUUAACAGCCAGAGGGUCUGGAUCCUGGGAGGUGGAGUCAGCGCAAUCCUGGGGCUCUCAAUCCCAAACCAGUCCUGUGAUCCUGUGCCCAGUUCUGAGGCUGGACCUGAAGAGCACCACGGCAACCUUGAGCAUUGCUAGAGGGCAGCUGGGAGGGGUGGGAUUGAGGGCUCACAACUAUGUCCAGCAUGGAAGGGCAACUGGAAUCACCAGACAAUGGUAAAGGAGCUGUGAGCCUGUUCACUUGGAGGGCCAUGGAGGGAGGCCGGGCCGGCACAGCUGCACCAUCACAUGGGGUUUAUCAGGGCCUAACAGAGAAGGCCAAUGUAUCUUCCAAAAACUGGAACAAUGCUCUGGAGGGGACAUGUGAGGUCUUGGGGGGAAGACUUAGGCCAUGGCUAGAACCUCAAAAUGAGCAUCCCAGUGAAGAAGAGCAGAGCCCAAGGCCUUGGGGAGGAAGAACAUUCUCUUUUGGACUGAAGAUUAUGGAGAUUCUGAAAGAUAAGAGUUGAGAAAAAUGAAGUAUAUAAAGUUUUGAGAUAUGGAGUGAUUUGCCCAAGGCCAGUGGCUAGUUUUAUAUAGAACAGGUGGCCCAUCCUGCAAUCCCAUGGUGAAUGGGUAAAUGCCAGCCUAUGAGGGCAUCUGGGCCCAGGUGCUGGACAACAACCCAUACUUCAGUGUCUAAAGACAUACUUUAGA
rnacentral:lncRNA from 1 species